AUGAAGCUUCACUCACUUAUUCUCUUCGGUGCCUCAGCUGCUGCAGUUUUUGGAAAUGUCAUCAAACCAAUCAACACUGAUGUUUUUGCUGAAGAAGGAUCAAAUGUGACAUUAUCCUGUAGUUUUAAAGCCUCUGGAGGUGCAGAUGAUCUCCACUGGUACCGUCAGUAUGGAGGAUCAAAACCUGAAUUUCUUGUCCUCAUCUACGGGUCUGCAACAAAAGCUGCACCGUCUGAUAUAGACACAAGAUUCACUACUAAUAUUACUAAAAAGGAGCAUGUGGACCUGCUGCUCUCCUCUGCUGCAGUAUCAGACUCUGCUGUGUAUUACUGCGCUCUGCAGCCCACAGUGACAGGAAACACAUCAGCUCCAUACAAAAACCUGAUACAAUGA